UAAACACCUAAAAUAAUUGAAAAUUGAUUUAAGUUUGAGCGUGUUAACAGGUUAAUUAAUGCCGAGGAUAUUAAUUAACGUUUGAAGCUCAGGUCGGAAUUUCUCCUCGAGAAAAGCUGGCAAAGACAGGGUAAAGAAUAAGAGGUAAUGUGAUUCAUGUGAGAGGCGUUUGAGUAGUUAAUUAUUGUCAUAUAAGCUGCUGUCCCGUUGUGACACUAUUGAUAAUGGACACAAUUCCGCAGACCCGACUCCAUAUGGCGCGGCUGUAGUUUUAUUUUAUAGCUGAACAUGCUCUAACGAGUGCGACACGUGCGAUAGAUAGGUUGUCUCCGUCGUAACGAUCGUUCCUUGACGACUCUGAGAGGAAUGCAACACUGUCUUUCGUUCCUCAGUACACCUGAACUCUCCG